AAUGUACUCCCUCCGUCCCAAAAUUCUUGUCUUAGAUUUGUCUAGAUACAGAUGUAUCUAACAGAUACGAUGGAUGUAUCUAACAGAUACGUCCGUAUCUAGACAAAUCUAAGACAAGAAUUUUGGGACGGAGGGAGUAAAAA
rfam:Triticum urartu cultivar G1812 contig1184863, whole genome shotgun sequence.